rnacentral:rRNA from 1 species
UACGUAGGGUGCGAGCGUUAAUCGGAAUUACUGGGCGUAAAGUGUGCGCAGGCGGCAGAGCAAGUCGAGUGUGAAAGCCCCGGGCUUAACUUGGGAAUUGCGCUCGAAACUAACUUUGCUGGAGUGUGGCAGAGGAAGGUGGAAUUCCACGUGUAGCGGUGAAAUGCGUAGAUAAUCGAGAGGAACACCUGCGGCGAAGGCGGGUACUGGGCCGAACAGUGACUGGACUGCGCGAAAGCCGGGGAGCAAACGGG